rnacentral:rRNA from 1 species
AAACUAACAAGGAUUCCCCUAGUAACUGCGAGUGAAGCGGGAUGAGCUCAAAUUUAAAAUCUGGCGGCAUUGGUCGUCCGAGUUGUAAUCUGGAGAAGCAUUUUCUGUGUCGGACCGUGCACAAGUUUCCUGGAACGGAAUGUCAUAGAGGGUGAGAGUCCCGUCCAUGGCACGGAUCACCGAUGCAUUGUGAUAUGCUCUCGAAGAGUCGAGUUGUUUGGGAAUGCAGCUCAAAAUGGGUGGUAAAUUCCAUCUAAAGCUAAAUAUUGGCGAGAGACCGAUAGCGAACAAGUACCGUGAGGGAAAGAUGAAAAGCACUUUGGAAAGAGAGUUAAACAGUACGUGAAAUUGUUGAAAGGGAAACGCUUGGAGUCAGUCGCGUUGGUCAGGAUUCAGUCGCUCUUACCGGAGUGGAUUACUUCCUGGUGAACGGGUCAACAUCGAUUUCGAACGGUGGAUAAAGGGGAGGGGAAUGUGGCACCUUCGGGUGUGUUAUAGCCCCUCUUUCGCAUACACCGGCCGGGAUCGAGGAUCGCAGCACGCCUUUAUGGCCGGGGGUUUACCUCACGUAACGUGCUUAGGAUGUUGGCAUAAUGGCUUUAAGCGACCCGUCU